AUACAGAGGGUGCAAACGUUGCUCGGAUUUACUGGGCGUAAAGCGCGUGUAGGCGGACUCGCAAGUCGGUUGUGAAAUCCCUGGGCUUAACCUAGGAACUGCAUCCGAAACUGCGUGUCUUGAGUAAUAGAGAGGGUGGCGGAAUUCCCGGUGUAGAGGUGAAAUUCGUAGAUAUCGGGAGGAACAUCAGUGGCGAAGGCGGCCACCUGGACAUUUACUGACGCUGAGACGCGAAAGCGUGGGGAGCAAACAGAAUUAGAAACCCGAGUAGUCC
rnacentral:rRNA from 1 species